GGACUACUAGGGUUUCUAAUCCCGUUUGCUCCCCUGGCUUUCGUGUCUCAGUGUCAGCACAACCCCAGUUACCUGUUUUCACCAUUGGCGUUCCAAAUGAUAUCUACGCAUUUCACCGCUCCACCAUUUGUUCCGGUAACCCCUAGUUGGCUCAAGACCCGCAGUAUACCGAGCAGUUCCACGGUUAAGCCGUGGGAUUUCACAAGGUACUUACAGGUCCACCUACACACGCUUUAAGCCCAGUGAUUCCGCCUAACGCUUGGCACCUCUGUCUUACCGCGGCGGCUGGCAC
rnacentral:rRNA from 1 species